rnacentral:rRNA from 1 species
AUGGGAACGCGAAGAACCUUACCUAGACUUGACAUCUUCUGCAUUAAUCGUAAUGGAUGAAAUCCCUUCGGGGACAGAAUGACAGGUGGUGCAUGGUUGUCGUCAGCUCGUGUCGUGAGAUGUUGGGUUAAGUCCCGCAACGAGCGCAACCCCUAUUAUUAGUUGCUAACAUUAAGUUGAGCACUCUAGUGAGACUGCCCGGGUUAACCGGGAGGAAGGUGGGGAGUGACGUCAAAUCAUCAUGCCCCUUAUGUCUAGGGCUACACACGUGCUACAAUGGUGAGUACAGAUAGAUGCGAUACCGCAAGGUGGAGCCAAACUCUAAAACUCAUCCCAGUUCGGAUUGUAGGCUGAAACUCGCCUACAUGAAGCCGGAGUUGCUAGUAAUCGCGAAUCAGCAUGUCGCGGUGAAUACGUUCCCGGGUCUUGUACACACCG